rnacentral:lncRNA from 1 species
UAAUACUAAUUAACAUUAUUUAAAUUCCAGAAUUUUGAAAUACAAAUAGUAAAAGCCACAUUUUAAAACUUGAAUUCACAAAAAUAAAAUUACAUUCAAAUUCAUAAAACUAUCUAAUACCAAAUAGCACCAUACACUAAAAAUUUCAAUCACUUGAAACUUCCAACAAAUAGCAUCAUCAAAAUUCAUCGUAUAACAUAUCUCAUAAAUCCUUUACAAUAUCCAACCAUCAGCUUAUCACUAGAAAAACAAUUAAUCCAUAAAAAAACACUGAUAUUAAAUUCCCGAAAGCCACCAACAUCACCUGAAAAAUAGAUUAACCAAAAAAAUACAGAUUAACAUGUUGACCAAAUACAAUUAAUCAAAUUCACAAUAAAGUUCACCAGUGUGUAAUUGAUUUAAUCAGCUUUGAUACCAAAGGAAAAAUGAGGAUAAAUAGCCCCAGAGGAAAAACAAUCACAUUUGACAAUUGACAUAAUGAAGCAGUAAGCCUCACGAGUUGUAAAAGAGAAAUAGGUAAGGGAAAAUAAGGGACAUCUUCAAUGCAUGUAGUUUAUAUUAACUUUUUUUUUGUUCCUAAAGAUGUAUUAAGAGGAAAAAGGAUAUUCAUUCAAUGCCUGCAUCUCCUAUUUGUUAAUCUAAUUAUUCUCCUAUUCCUAUUGGUUAAUAAGGGAGUCAAUAAGAUUUUAAUCUAACAAUAUAGCAGUGACAAUUAACUAGGUCUUCAUUAAGAGUUGUUGAAUUAGAAAAGAUUUAAGUAUAAACAAACUAUUGUGCAACAGAAUACGUACUGAAGAGAAAUAUCGAACCAAGUGCAAUGCCAAAUACAAGAAAAGAGAAUUUUUAAUCUAGCCUUCUAUAGAUUUCAAUUCUGAAUUUCUUUAUGCACCAAAUUGAGUAUAUUUCAAAGACUACAAAUUAAUUAAUGCAAAACAUCUAAAAACAUAACAACUUUCCAUACAUAAUUAAACAAAAUCCACCAAAAUCAAACUAAUAAAAAGAAAGGUAAAAGUUCUAAAAACCCAAAAGAGGAAAUAUCAGAAAAUUCUGGAAUCACCAGAAUCUCCCCAUUCUAUCAACCUUAAUUCCAUGCUUGUAGGCUUGUGAACACUGACCCUAUCCAACUCAAAGAAAGAAGAUGCAGGCUAGUAUUCUCAUCUGGAUUACAUCACAUUAGCAUUUGAGAUAUUUUUACUUUAAUGUUUCAAAGAGAAGAAUUUUUGUUAAAGCAAGAUUUUCAACGAAUAUGUUAAAAGGAAUGCUCAUUGUCUAAGGAUUUAAAAGGAUGCCGAGAACAAGUUUGUUUACAAUAUAUUUUUUAUUUAUUUUUCUUGUUAAACUACGAUAAACUGAAAAAUACAAGUAUAUCUUGAUUUUAAAAAUCAACCAAGACAAGAAAAUAGAAUGAACAACUAUUCUUAUAGGCAAUGAAUGGAAAACCUCUAAAUGUAGUCAUUGGUUUAGUAAGGACAGUUGGAACCAUAAACAGUGGAUAAGUUUCUAAUGAAAAUAAUAAAAUCCAUCAUCUAUAUAAGUUGAGAAAAAAUAAAUUUCAUGUCAAAGAUCUAAAAAAUUUGAAGGAAACCUUAUAGUAAACAAAUAUUCAAUCCAUAAUAGUAUGAAUAAUAAAAACAUUAUUGUCAACUUGAAACGUAAAGUUGCUUUGUGUUUUUGUCAGUCAGUCCUAUUGUUUUUAGCAAAACAACAAACCUUAGCAUUUUAAUUAGUAACAAAUCAGAACCAACAUAAAAAUAAAAUUAGAAAAGAUAUAGAGAUGUAUUCUACCAUUUUGCAAUGCUGGUAUCGUCACCGUCUAUUCAAUAAAGAUCAAUGACCCCCUUAGACAGGACAUAACUCAAGUGAUAGGAAAAAGAAAAUUAAAUAGUUGUCAUGAGCUAUCUUAAACUUAUGCAAUCAAAUAUUUCAAAGACGAUGCUAAAACAAACCAAUGUAAAAACAUUAUUACCUUGAACCAUUAUCACCAAAGUUGUGAAGCCAAACCACAGUGGCUUGCUGUCUACCUUUGCCUGACUACAUAGGUCCUUCUGAACUGAUCUAGUGUUUUUCUAACAGUUUUAACCCCUGAAAAAAAGUCAUCACAAAAUUCAAUAAUCAAAAUUAAUGAUGAAGAAUUUCACAUACGUAACAAAAACCCAUAAUUACUAACAAAAGAAUUUCAUAAUGUAAGUUUUUUUAAUAAACCUCAACAAAGCUUUGUCAAGAGAAAACAUAAAUUAAAAAAAUGCUAGAGUAUAAAAUAAACAGGGGAGAAUAGAACAGCUAAGCCCCUUUACAGCAAGUAUCGAAAUGAACUAAAUAACAACGGCACAUGUUAGCUAUAACGAUAAUAGAGGUUCUUUAAAGUUUUUUUUUUUUUUUUAAGAAAGUCACGAGUCUUAGGAGGGUCAGUAGUUCUUAGAGAAGAGCCCAAGUUUUCCAAAGUUACUGUACUAAAUACACAACAGGCUGAAUCAAAUUUUAUUGGAAGAAUUAUUGUACAAAACCAUUGCAAUUAACCCCAAAUUACAACCAACCAAGCCCUAGUAAUUUAAUUGAGAGUUAAUUUCCCUUUAUUAUUACUCAAUAUAUGAAAAAUCCAAUUGAGGAACAAAAGAAUAGAGAAGAAUGAAAUUUAUUUACCUUCAUCAACCGGAGCGAUAGUGAGGGUUUCUUAAAAAACGAUCGGCGAGUUUGAAGGAUUACUCAAUAGCAAAGGAUUUAGGGUUUGGAGGAGAACAUCAACUUCUACAUGGCAAAUAUCAACGAUUUCGAAGGAUUAAGGGUGUAUUUUCGUCUUCUUUAUUAGUGAGGGAAGAGCCUCAAAUUUUGACUUAGGGUUUUUAUUUUGGAUUUCUCACUUGCAGCGAGGAAUCUGAUUUAUUAAAGUUGUGCAACACUUGGAAAUUAUUUUAGUUAAGGGUCUAGCUCAUAAAUGACGUAGUUUCC